ensembl:lncRNA
GGGGAGGAGGAUGUUUAUAUUCACACAAAAGGGAAUUAAAACACAUUCGUAUUGAGAUAAAAAAAGAAACACUGGCAUCUUUCAACUUCUAACAAAAUGCACAAAGUGAAGCACGUAUGUGCCGCCGGUCCCCACGUUUCUUUCCCUCCCCCACCCUAUUCCCUUGUGGGCUGUGUGUCUGUGUGUGUGUGUGUGUGUGUGUGUGUGUGUGUGUGUGUGUGUGUGUGUGUGUGUGUGUGUGUGUGUGUGUGUGUGUGUGUGUGUGUGUGUGUGUGUGUGUGUGUGUGUCCCUCAUCUCAGCUGUGGUUGCUGUGCAGAUGGCGCUUUGUUGGUGCUUUACAAUGGGACUAAGGUCAGUGCGCCUCCAACCAUCAGCACACUGCAGGUUCUCCACUCCAGCUGUCCUGAUGCUUGACGUGGACCCCCAUCCACAACCUCUCCCUGCUCCACACCGGCCCCACCGCCACCACUCCAUCUUUGUGCGGAGCAGAUGAGGAGAGGGUCUUUAAAACACAGAAUAGGCCACACGCUUACUGACGACGCGAUUGGUCGGACCGUUUUGCAUCUCUCAUAGGGACACGGACGUCUUCUUCUUCAAGGCUUCGAGAGCAUUUGUAUAUAUUAAUUUGACGUAUGUCAUUGUUCAACACAUUUUGUGGUGAUAUCUCUAAUCCAACGCACAAGCCAGAACCUCAGACCAGCUGGGGAAAUGCAAAUCCACCAUCUGCCGUGUGAUCCCAUAUCAACCCUUGUCCAUAAUUAGUCAUAAGAGCUAAUGUCAUGUUUGCUCUGCACUCAUCGGAUUAUCGGGAUGCUCUGUAACCAGGAGAGUACACAAAUGGUUUAUUUAAACUAAUUCAGAAGGAUCUAAACCACAGCUUAAAUGACAACUAUGAGCAGUCACAACGAUAUGUAUGCUAUAAUAUAGAGUUUCUCAGUUCCUCUCCGACUAUUACCUUCAGCCGAAAGUGAUCAACUGCUCUCAACCUAAUUAAAUAUUUUCAAAUCAAAGUUCAUUGCUGUCAGGUCUUGUAAACCAAAUGUGAUUUCUAACGGAUGAAUAAAAGUAAUGUGACAAUCAAAACCAUGCAACAACAAUCCUUUUUCAAAAGGUAAAUUGAUUGGUUAAAGAAGUAGGUGCUGGACUAUGC